UUGAAAGGGAAACGAUUGAAGUCAGUCGUACCGACGAGAAAUCAACUCAACGAAUGGGUAAUUGCGGGCGUAUGAGAGCUUCACGGUCUCAUUGUUUGCAAAUGCAUGUUCUUUGGGUGUACUUUUUCGUAUGGUAGGUCAACGUCGGUUCCGAUUGUUAUAAAAUGAUCGGAGGAAUGUAGCUUCGAUUUCGAUUGAAGUGUUAUAGCCUUUGGUAGAUGUAUUGAUCGAGACCGAGGAUUGCAACGAAUACCCAUUUGGGCUAUCCGUCUGACCUCUGAAAGUUGCUUAGGUGCCGAAAGCUUGCUUACGGUCAUUUAAGCCAGCGGUCAAUAGGUUAGAACGUGAUUAAAUUCGUUAAGGAUGU
rnacentral:rRNA from 1 species